AUACAAAGUUCAUGCAACUGUAUUACAACUUUCUAGGCUGAUCUGUAUUUUAGAUAUAAGUAGGCUUGUAUAUAAAAUAGAUUGGGGGUGCAAAAUGUGUAAAUUUGAAACAUCAACAUAAAUAGUUUUGCUAAAACAUUACAGACUACACCAUGGUAAUUGUGGGCAACCAUUUCCAUGCCUCUGUCAAGAUUGUUUGUGUUUUUUCAGAACAUGGGGCAGCCUUAGAUCACAUUUAUCAAGACAUCAAACUUAGAAAACCUCCAAAUUUGCAGAAAGUUUUUAUUUUAUUUGUCCUUGUUGCAAUGCCAUGACAAUUUCCAUAGAAAAAAAAAAAAAACACGAAACUGUCAUCUGUGUAUUUCAGAACUGCAAUUUCAGAACUAACAUUUAUGGUACAUUUGCUUCCCACAGAAGCCGAAAACAUACUCCUCACUCAUUGCAUGACUUCAAGGCAGACAUAAUAAAAAGGUAUGUAUGUUCAUUCAAUGCAGAUCAACACAGUGAUGUGGAAGGUCAAAGUGGGGAGCUGUCUGAUGAAGGUCAAGAUGACAAUAAUGAUGUGACAGACCUGCCAAACUGCAUAGAAAAAAAAUGGCUUUGUUGUUUCUAAAACUGGAGAGCACUUUUAAUGUAUCUUACAGGUGUAUAGAAGAGGUUGUUAAGGAGUUCAAUUUUAUAUCUUGAUCAGCAUCUGGACCCAUCAUCAAAGUUGUUGCAGAUAAAAUGGGCAAGAAAUAAGGGAUAUCUUGGAGCGCUGGCCUGCAUUAUCAGGUGCAACAGAGAUAAAUGAAGAAUUCAAGAGGAUAACCACUGUAGGUCUUGAAUCCACAUUUAUGGCCAAACUUGACAAACGCACCCAAAACUAAUGGACCUGGCCUCAUCCAGGGGAGGAGCUAAAGGGGAAAGAAUCAGAAGGAUUAAGGAUAUGCUUCUUGAGAACAAUGCAGUUGAAGUAUGGAGAGAAGUAGCCAUUCACUGUCUUGUUGUCUAUCUUGGAGAGAAAGAAGAGGAUCUUUUUAAGGAGUUUGCUAAUACACAAGAAUUAUUGGUGAUCUGUCAACUAUGGAAUUAAACCACAAGACGGGAACCAUCAUUGUUGAGAAUCCUGAUUGGAAUGGAUAACUCAAGGUGUUGUGCUCUGCUAACGGGCAUAAUAUAUGCUCUGAAUCUGAGCUACCCCAAGGAGCUUAAAUAUACUUGUUAAGUGUUUCAGAAGCUGUUUCUUGAACUUGAUGGACUGAAGCCCAGUGUAAAAGUAAUGCGUCUCAAGAACAGCAUUUUCUGAAGCCUCUACUUAUUUCAAAGUACAUUUUGCUCUUUAUGUUGCAACUAUAUUGUUUUGUAUUUUGAAGUCCACAUGCUGAUCUUUUUAAUUUCAUACUGUUUAUAUGAAUGGUGGCAUUUACAUAUGUUUGUUUAUAAUAAUACAAAUGUUACAUGCUUUACAAUUAAGGUUAGCUAAUAACAAGUAGUUUGUAAAAUGUAGAAUUUAUAAGUUAAUAGUUAGCUUUAAGUGUAUCAAUGCCUAUAACUCUUGUUUUGUUGGAAUUCAUUGUGAUGGCAUAGCUAUGCAUGCAUGCACAUUUUUGAAGGCAAAGCUGACGGGUCAGUUUGUUUAUAAUUUGUGAGACAGUACACAUUUGUGUUUUGUAAACUUUGAGAAGUGCAAUA